UGGGGAAUAUUGCACAAUGGGCGCAAGCCUGAUGCAGCGACGCCGCGUGCGGGAUGGAGGCCUUCGGGUUGUAAACCGCUUUUGUUUGGGAGCAAGCCCUUCGGGGUGAGUGUACCUUUCGAAUAAGCACCGGCUAACUACGUGCCAGCAGCCGCGGUAAUACGUAGGGUGCGAGCGUUAUCCGGAUUUAUUGGGCGUAAAGGGCUCGUAGGCGGUUCGUCGCGUCCGGUGUGAAAGUCCAUCGCCUAACGGUGGAUCUGCGCCGGGUACGGGCGGGCUGGAGUGUGGUAGGGGAGACUGGAAUUCCCGGCGUAACGGUGGAAUGUGUAGAUAUCGGGAAGAACACCAAUGGCGAAGGCAGGUCUCUGGGCCGUUACUGACGCUGAGGAGCGAAAGCGUGGGGAGCGAACAG
rnacentral:rRNA from 1 species